rnacentral:rRNA from 1 species
GUACACGCUGUGACUAGCAUAUCAAUAAGCGGAGGAAAAGAAACUAACAAGGAUUCCCCUAGUAACGGCGAGUGAAGCGGGAAGAGCUCAAAUUUGAAAUCUUAAAGGGUUUCCCUUUACGAAUUGUAGUUUAAAGAAGUGUUUUCUGUUGAGGUUUUGGUAAAAGUUCUUUGGAAUAGGACAUCAUAGAGGGUGAGAAUCCCGUAUUUGACCUUUACUUUCAACUUUGUGAUACACUUUCAAAGAGUCGGAUUGUUUGGGAAUGCAGUCCAAAAUGGGUGGUAAAUUUCAUCUAAAGCUAAAUAUUGGCGAGAGACCGAUAGCGAACAAGUACCGUGAGGGAAAGAUGAAAAGAACUUUGAAAAGAGAGUUAAACAUGUACGUGAAAUUGUCAAAAGGGAAGCGUUUGACACCAGUGUUGUUUUUCUGAAAAUCAAUUAAAGAACUGUUUAUGCUAAGCUGUUUAGACUUUAUCAGCUAUCUGUUUAGUUUUGAGCUUUUCUUUAAUGCACUUUUCAGUUAACAAGUCAACAUCAAUUUCUUUUGCUGUAAAAAAGCUUGAGGAAGGUGGCUUGAGAUUCGUCUUAAGUGUUUAUAGCCUCUUGCCUAUGCAGUCGGAGAGAUUGAGGUCUGCAGCGUAGAUCCUUCGGGGCUAAAUGCAUUUGUGCUAAGUUAUAGCAUUUUAUAGACAACUUGUUGACUAUGAUUUGUCUUGUAGCUUACUCGCUUAUGUUAUUUUACCUACGCUUAGGAUGUUGAUAUGCAUGACUGAUAU